GACGAACGCUGGCGGCGUGCCUAAUACAUGCAAGUAGAACGCUGAAGAGAGGAGCUUACUCUUCUUGGAUGAGUUGCGAACAGGUGAGUAACGCGUAGGUAACCUGCCUUGUAGCGGGGGAUAACUAUUGGAAACGAUAGCUGAUACCGCAUAACAAUGGAUGACACAUGUCAUUUAUUUGAAAGGGGCAAUUGCUCCACUACAAGAUGGACCUGCGUUGUAUUAGCUAGUAGGUGAGGUAAUGGCUCACCUAGGCGACGAUACAUAGCCGACCUGAGAGGGUGAUCGGCCAAACUGGGACUGAGACACGGCCCAGACUCCUACGGGAGGCAGCAGUAGGGAAUCUUCGGCAAUGGGGGCAACCCUGACCGAGCAACGCCGCGUGAGUGAAGAAGGUUUUCGGAUCGUAAAGCUCUGUUGUAAGUCAAGAACGGGUGUGAGAGUGGAAAGUUCACACUGUGACGGUAGCUUACCAGAAAGGGACGGCUAACUACGUG
rnacentral:rRNA from 1 species